rnacentral:rRNA from 1 species
GGAAAGCUCGUCAAACUUGGUCAUUUAGAGGAAGUAAAAGUCGUAACAAGGUCUCCGUAGGUGAACCUGCGGAGGGAUCAUU